rnacentral:sRNA from 7 species
CAUACCCAACUUUUAAGAUGAUCCCUGACAGGAUUAGAGUCCUCCACGAGCAGGCAGAGGCAAGCUAUUCAGAAAAACAAGGUCAUGCUGCUUUUUUUUUUUUUUUUUUUGGUAAGCACAGGAAUCAACAAAGAGAUGUUAUAUAACUUCUAUUUAUAUCCCACUUGCUCACUAGCUGCAGGCACACACGAGUAGCUGAGGAGGGAAUUUAAUGAGCUCUCAGGGCUUGCUCACCUUCCAGAGCUGGUAGGAGCCAGCUUGUUUUUGAAGUGCGUCAGCAAAUGAAACUGGUGGUGGGUGGGUGGUUUGGGUAGGUGGACUGACUUGUUGCUAUGGUUUUCUUUAAUUCCUCUGUCUCUCAA